AGGGAGAGUCCGGCAGAGAAAGAGAGGAGAGAGAGAGACUGAAAGCAUUCCCGAGAUUAUUGACAUUUAAAGGAAGCAAUUCCUUUGCUAGUGUCCUUCUGCAAAGACCAAGAAUUAAAGGAUCAGAAUGAAGUUUAUUAUUGGAAUUGGAGGAGUGACUAAUGGAGGAAAGACAACUCUGACGAGUAGACUUCUGAAGAAUUUACCGAAUUGUUGUGUUAUACAUCAAGAUGAUUUUUUCAAGCCCCAAGAUCAAAUAGAGGUCGGGGAGGACGGCUUUAGACAAUGGGAUGUGAUUGCAGCGUUAGAUAUGGACGCUAUGGCGAACACAGUUAAGGGAUGGAUCGAGAACCCGGUGAAGUUUGCACGUUCUCACGGCGUGACCGUUUCAGCCAUGCCUGACGGCUCGGACCCUGAACGCGAGAUCCACAUCCUCAUUAUAGAAGGAUUUCUUCUCUAUAACUACAAGCCUUUGCUUGAUGUCUACAACAAGUGCUACUAUGUCACCAUUCCAUACGAGGAGUGCAAAAGGAGAAGAAGUACAAGAAAGUAUACCGUUCCUGACCCCCCUGGUCUGUUUGACGGCCAUGUUUGGCCCAUGUACUUGAAACACAGGAGAGAGAUGGAGAAUAACAGCCUAGAUGUCCGUAAGUCAACCAAUCUGAAUGACUACUGUAGUAGUAGCCCAUUUUACAUGUGUAAUGUAACAUAUUUCCAAAUUAAAUGUAGGGAUGGGUUUAAUUUGGUCAAUUAGGAAUUCACUGGAUUGUGAAAAGUGGGCGUUGCAUGGGGACGGGUUAAAAAUAAGAGGGCUUUAUGAUGUCAUCAAUAAAGGAAACUUGUUUCAGAGGCGGAGCAAGUUAAUACAUUUUGAUGAAAGAUUUCAAAGACAAGCAUUUUUUUUUCUUCUUUGAAAUAAAGAUGAAUUGUUCACAAUUAGACCAGAAACAUAAUAAAGUAAAUAAGGGUCCGUUUUGAUAUCACGUUGACUUUAAGGAACCAUUGUAACUCACAUGGACUCUUUCAUUUUGUGCCUGUAGUAUAUCUGGAUGGAAUGAAAUCCAAAGAGGAGAUCUAUAACCAAGUUUAUGUAGACAUUCAGAACACAUUGUUGAAUAUGUUAUUGCAUCUCCAGAUUGCAUGAAGAUGUUUGUGUAUAGAACUGUAAAUAGCAUUUUAAGUAGAUAUGGCUUUGUCCAGUGAACAAAUAUUGUAAAUAAUAUAAUAAAAUACUAACUUAUUGUACAACUGAUGGCAAAAGCCUGGAAUUUUAUAUUGAUCUAUGUAACUUUUCUUUUAUUAAAAAAGGUAUUGCUCUCUGGAGUGCCCAGAGAUGAACAAUAUUUUGUUGCCAUGUGUUUUUAUUGUACUGUUAUUGAAAACUCUACUGAAACUCUAUUUGACUAAAAGGUCUUGGGUCAUAAAAGUCAUUUGAAUCCUU